GUCCCGGGGAACUCUUUUAUCCGAACACCCUGGGAGAGAGAGACAGGCAGAGGCAAAUGGCGAGAGAGAACGGCCCAGCGUCCGCGCUGCGGAAGUUAUCAAACGAAACCAGUUCUCAAUAAAUACAUUUAAAACUA